rnacentral:rRNA from 1 species
UACGUAGGGUGCGAGCGUUAAUCGGAAUCACUGGGCGUAAAGGGUGCGUAGGCGGCCGUGCAAGUCUGGCGUGAAAGCCCCGGGCUCAGCCCGGGAAGUGCGCUCGAAACUGCGCGGCUCGAGUGCCGGAGGGGAGAGUGGAAUUCCUGGUGUAGCGGUGAAAUGCGUAGAUAUCAGGAGGAAUACCGGUGGCGAAAGCGACUCUCUGGACGGCAACUGACGCUGAGGCACGAAAGCGUGGGGAGCAAACAGG